GACGAACGCUGGCGGCGUGCUUAACACAUGCAAGUCGAACGGAAAGGCCCCAGCUUGCUGGGGUACUCGAGUGGCGAACGGGUGAGUAACACGUGGGUGAUCUGCCCUGAACUCUGGGAUAAGCCUGGGAAACUGGGUCUAAUACCGGAUAGGACCGUGCUUUAGUGUGUGCGGUGGAAAGUUUUUCGGUGCAGGAUGAGCCCGCGGCCUAUCAGCUUGUUGGUGGGGUAAUGGCCUACCAAGGCGGCGACGGGUAGCCGGCCUGAGAGGGUGUACGGCCACAUUGGGACUGAGACACGGCCCAGACUCCUACGGGAGGCAGCAGUGGGGAAUAUUGCACAAUGGGCGCAAGCCUGAUGCAGCGACGCCGCGUGGGGGAUGACGGCCUUCGGGUUGUAAACCCCUUUCGGCAGGGACGAAGCUUUUGUGACGGUACCUGCAUAAGAAGCACCGGCUAACUACGUG
rnacentral:rRNA from 1 species